CUCAAAGACUCCCGUCAGAAGUAGGGCAGUAGCCUCCACUGAAUCCCAGCUUGAACAAGAGGCCUGGACUUUGUUUGAGAAAAACCUUUCCAAGCAUGAGUGAGAGAAGAAGGAGUGAAACUUCAUCUUACUUCGGUUCCUUUUAUGUGGUCAGCUGAUGUUACUCCAAUUCCACAGCAGGAAACAGGAAGCCGGCUUGUGGCCUGGAUCAUCGCCACUGCUGCAGCAUGAAGGAGAAGACUGCACCCAGCCCCUGUUCAUCAGGUGGCAGCGAACAGUGUAAGUGCGGGCCAGAGGACUCUGGAGGAGCAGGGGUCGGCUGUGCAGUCAGCAACUGGACAGAAGAGGUGGUUCCUGCUUCCAAGUGUCGCUUCUCUCCAGCCGCUGGCUGAGCAACAGCACUUGCAUUGCUCACUACCACCUGUGACUCGUCUGCUCUCUGAGGCUGCAGGGGAGCUAUUGUGUGUUUUAUGUGUAUUGGAUGUUCGGAUGCUUGUAACUCAGAGAGUGCCUGCAUGUGUGUAUUUGUUCUAUGGCCUACACAGGUCCGCUGCUGAGCUGGAUCUGACUCA